rnacentral:rRNA from 1 species
UGGGGAAUCUUGCGCAAUGGACGAAAGUCUGACGCAGCCACGCCGCGUGAGUGAAGAAGGCCUUCGGGUUGUAAAGCUCUGUCGGAGGGGACGAAAAUGCCCAGGGUUCACAGCCCCGGGUACUGACGGUACCCUCAAAGGAAGCACCGGCUAACUUCGUGCCAGCAGCCGCGGUAAUACGAGGGGUGCAAGCGUUGCUCGGAAUUAUUGGGCGUAAAGGGGAGGUAGGUGGUCUCAUUUGUCUGGGGUGAAAGCCUUGGGCUUAACUCAAGAAGUGCCCCAGAAACGGUGAGACUAGAGUCCUGGAGAGGGUCGUGGAAUUCCCGGUGUAGCGGUGAAAUGCGUAGAGAUCGGGAGGAACACCAGAGGCGAAGGCGGCGACCUGGACAGGUACUGACACUCAACUCCGAAAGCGUGGGGAGCAAACAGGAUUAGAUACCCGGGUAGUCC